CCUACGGGAGGCAGCAGUGAGGAAUAUUGGUCAAUGGGCGCGAGCCUGAACCAGCCAAGCAGCGUGAAGGAUGACUGCCCUACGGGUUGUAAACUUCAUUUAUAAAGGAAUAAAGUGAGGCACGUGUGCCUUUAUGCAUGUACUUUAUGAAUAAGGAUCGGCUAACUCCGUGGCAGCAGCCGCGGUAAUACGGAGGAUACGAGCGUUAUCCGGAUUGUUUGGGUUUAAAGGGAGCGGAGAUGGGUUGUUAAGUCAGUUGUGAAAGUUUGCGGUUCAACCGGAAAAUUGCAAUUGAUACUGGCAGUCUUGAGUACAGUAGAGGUAGGCGGAAUUCGUGGUGUAGCGGUGAAAUGCUUAGAUAUCACGAAGAACUCCGAUUGCGAAGGCAGCUUACUAAACUGCCACUGACAUUGAUGCUCGAAAGUGUGGGUAUCAAACAGGAUUAGAUACCCGGGUAGUC
rnacentral:rRNA from 1 species